rnacentral:rRNA from 1 species
CCUACGGGAGGCAGCAGUGAGGAAUAUUGGUCAAUGGGCGAGAGUCUGAACCAGCCAAGUAGCGUGAAGGAUGAAUGCCCUAUGGGUUGUAAACUUCUUUUAUAUGGGAAUAAAGUGUUCCACGUGUGGGAUUUUGUAUGUACCAUAUGAAUAAGGAUCGGCUAACUCCGUGCCAGCAGCCGCGGUAAUACGGAGGAUCCGAGCGUUAUCCGGAUUUAUUGGGUUUAAAGGGUGCGUAGGUGGAUUGUUAAGUCAGUUGUGAAAGUUUGUGGCUCAACCGUAAAAUUGUAGUUGAAACUGGCAGGCUGGAGUACAGUAGAGGGGGGCGGAAUGCGUGGUGUAGCGGUGAAAUGCUUAGAUAUCACGAAGAACCCCGAGUGCGAAGGCAGCCCACUGGAC